AAGCCAGCCAAUGAGUCUGCUUACCUGAAUGUGUUUCUGCAAAAAAUUUAGAGAAAGCUGGCAAUAGUAAAGACAUGUUAUGAGCCUUAAAGACAUUCAAGUCAUUAAGGAACCUGAAAAUGGCUAUAAAA